rnacentral:tRNA from 1 species
GCUCGGCCUGGCUGAUCAGGUCGGCGGCGACGUGGCCGGCGUCCGCGGUCUCGUCGGCGAGGAUCGCGAUCUCGGUCGGGCCC